AAACUACUCAGGGAGAAGAAUAAGAAAAAGAUAACUUAAAAAACAACAAUAAAAACCUAGAGCAGGAGAUAAAAAAGAGAGAUUCAUCAGCAAAACUCCUCUAAGGUAGGGUUGGAGUUGAUGGCAGACACAGUUAAACUGCAGCAUUCUGGAAAGAGCUAAUUUGAUUUGCCUGUAACUAGUAGGUGGGAAACAAAAACUCAAAAAAAAACUAAAGCAUCUCAAACACACAUUUACCUCCUCUUUGUUUCAUUAAUCCUAGCCAGGGCUGUGGCUGAGGUGAAGCUCAGUUUACUGCCCCUGAGCCGGCUCUGGGCUCUGCUCUGCCCAGGUGAGCCAGCACCUCCUGGGGCUGCUCCUAACUUCUCCCAGCUGUGUUUUCCCCAUGUCCCAAACGUCUCCACCUGGUUCUGCAGAUGGAGCAGCUGCAGUUGAAGGCAAACACCUGGUGAGCCACAGUCCUGCCCUGCCUUGCAGGGGGAGAUCAGAGCUGCAGCAGCUCCUAACCUAUUUAAAGCCCUUUCAGGGUUGUAAGUGUUGUGUUUGUGGUUAAUAAUCUGCCCCCUUUGAGCCCAGGGAAUCUGAAUUACUCAGCUGGGCAGCUUUACACCGACCAGCCACCAAAAAUCUCCUGAAAAUGUGGAAAGGAGUGCUAAAUCCAGCACAGGCUACCACUGGCUGCUGCAAUGCUGGUACCUUUACAACAGCUGCAUUUCUGACACACCAGCUUUGGGCUGCACCAACCCAGCCAGCACAAGAGCUGCAGAUGUGACCAGGCUCCCUGACAGGCUCCAGGCUGGCAGGAGGCUCCCCUGGGAUAGAGGAAGGAAGACCCUCAUCCCAUUCACUGCUGGUUUCAGACCUCCUGAAUACUUAGAAAUUCCCUUCUCUAGAAAAAUAUUUGACAAAAACUCAUCCUCCAGGGAAUGCCGUGAUGAGCAGAACAAGAGAAAUGUUUUUUAAGGGAUUUUUACAGCAGUCAUGUCAAGUAACACCUCUGUUUAAGUCAAUACUGCAGUCUGAGCAAGCUUUUAGUCCAACAGUUCAUUCUUUUUGGAGACUCCUUAACACUGAGCAGCAGUGUCAUACAACAAGCUGGUUAGCAGUGCUGCUUCUGCAUUUCUUUGCACCAUUUUCCUCCAAGUUCUUGCAUAUGGGAAAGCUGCAAAUUCAUUCCCUGAGGUUUGCAUGGAGAAGGCUGUUAAAUGCCAGGACGAGUCUCAGGACUGGGAUAUUUGCAUGGUAAGGAGUGCUGGAGGUGCAGCCUGCUGCCAUUCUCCCACGUGCUCAGGAGUCAAGUCAAAUCAAGCUGACAUUUGUAACAGCCCCUCUCGGGCCUCCUUUCCAAACACCUGCAUCCCUGUGUCUCCUGCUCCCCCAGCUCCUGGUUCUCAGUGCAUCUCUGCAGGCAGCAGCUCACCAUGAAAAUGCAGAGUGCCUGUCUUCCUCACCCAUGCAGAACUGCUAAUCCCAGCAGGAUAAUCCUGCUUUAAUGAGAAAACUAUAGAACCUUUGAUAAAGCAUAUAAAUCUUAGAAAAGCCCUACUACAACAUUCCUUAGUCUCUGGGACUGGAUGACCG
rnacentral:lncRNA from 1 species